rfam:Candidatus Thrbacteria bacterium RIFCSPHIGHO2_02_FTLL_54_11 rifcsphigho2_02_scaffold_23510, whole genome shotgun sequence.
GGAGAGGUGGCAGAGCUGGUCGAAUGCGCAUGACUCGAAAUCAUGUAUACCCGCAAGGGUAUCGAGGGUUCGAAUCCCUCCCUCUCCG